rnacentral:lncRNA from 1 species
AAAAAAAGUUACAUUUCCUCUACUGGGCAGCUGCACCUCAGGAACAGAUAGAGAGACCUGUUAGCGCGCCUCUGGGCUCAUAUGAUUUUGCAGAAGCGGGUGAGUUCAUAAAAACUCUUUGAAAACCACUUGGGACGAAAGGCUGCGUACCAACGUGCGCCGUUGUAACUAAUGUGGCCGUUGCAGACGCAUAAAGGUAUGAACCUAAGUGCUUAUUUUGAAACCAGGUGGCAGAGUUUCCCUUCAGAUAACGCUCUGUCGCUCUCGGGUCGUGACACAACGUCCGCCCUCUUUUCUCUCCACCGACAGCUGUGCUUCGGGGAAGAUUUGUUGUCCUGCAAGGAGAUGGCGUGACGUUAACCAGCGCUCUCCUCUCCCAGAAAGCCACUGCACGUUAACGAGGAACGGUUUCCUGUUAAAUCCAGCAUAAUAUUCAGAUGCAGAUCUUGUAUCUUCCAGCUGCAAGCACGCUUUUCUUCUGAGGCGAUGGUCCUUGUUCUCAUUUGCUUGGAAGCAAGACAGAACAAGCAAUUACUGUCAGCUGCUUUACGACUGAAACGCGAGGUGACCGGUUUUCUGAACUAUUCCAGGAGAUGGAGCAGAGCUGGUGCACUUACCUUGACAAAGAACCUCACUGAAGUUGCAUUUUUUAUAUGGUCUCACAGCUAUGUGAAAGAUGACGGGCAUAUGCAGCUUUCUGCAGGAGAGCUGGUUACCAGCAGCGUUGCAGUGAUGCUGUCCGGCCUUGGGUCCUGCUGCUGCUCUCACUGAAAUCAGCAGUGACUUCAGCAGUUCAGGACUGGACCACAAACUCUAUAGCAUUUCUGGGAUCCUUCAAGAUGAAAAGCACUCCACGUGGGUAAGUUAUCAUUAUUUGUUAUUAUCCUCUUGCUAAUCCACUUUGGAAGACAGAUGUACAUUCUU